rnacentral:rRNA from 1 species
UACGUAGGGUGCAAGCGUUAAUCGGAAUUACUGGGCGUAAAGCGUGCGCAGGCGGUGAUGUAAGACAGAUGUGAAAUCCCCGGGCUCAACCUGGGACCUGCAUUUGUGACUGCAUCGCUAGAGUACGGCAGAGGGGGAUGGAAUUCCGCGUGUAGCAGUGAAAUGCGUAGAUAUGCGGAGGAACACCGAUGGCGAAGGCAAUCCCCUGGGCCUGUACUGACUCAUGCACGAAAGCGUGGGGAGCAAACAGGAUUAGAAACCCGA